UCUCGGCCCAGCCUGAAAUUUGCUAAACCUGAUGCGUUUGAAACUAAGGUGAGCAAAUAUUCAGGUGUGUCGACGA
rfam:Anopheles maculatus strain maculatus3 cont1.20555, whole genome shotgun sequence.